rnacentral:tRNA from 1 species
GGGACAGUAGCUCAGUGGUAGAGCUCUCGCCUCGUACGCGGGAAGACCUGGGUUCUUCCUGGCUGCUUUC